rnacentral:rRNA from 1 species
AGGACGAACGCUGGCGGCGUGCUUAACACAUGCAAGUCGAGCGGAAAGGCCCUUCGGGGUACUCGAGCGGCGAACGGGUGAGUAACACGUGAGCAACCUGCCCCUGGCUCUGGGAUAGCCUCCGGAAACGGGGAUUAAUACCGGACAUUCACUUCCUUCCGCAUGGUUGGUGGUGGAAAGUUUUUUCGGCCGGGGAGGGGCUCGCGGCCUAUCAGCUUGUUGGCGGGGUAACGGCCCACCAAGGCGACGACGGGUAGCC